CGAACUGUGCAAACGUUAUUCGGAAUCACUGGGCUUAAAGGGUGCGUAGGCGGUCGCACAAGUCAGGUGUGAAAUCCCCCGGCUCAACCGGGGAAUUGCGCUUGAAACUAGGUGACUUGAGUGAGGUAAGGGUACGCGGAACUUCUGGUGGAGCGGUGAAAUGUGUAGAUAUCAGAAGGAACGCCGGUGGCGAAAGCGGCGUACUGGGCCUUGUCUGACGCUGAGGCACGAAAGCUAGGGAAGUGAACGGGAUUAGAUACCCUGGUAAUCCUAGCCGUAAACACUGAGCACUGGAGGGGAGGGGCUUCGGCCGUUUCCCUCGUAGCGAAAGCGUUAAGUGCUCCGCCUGGGGAGUAUGGUCGCAAGGCUG
rnacentral:rRNA from 1 species